UACAGAGGGGGCAAGCGUUAUUCGGAAUUAUUGGGCGUAAAGGGCGCGUAGGCGGCUAUUCAAGUGGCGGGUGAAAUCCCUCGGCUUAACCGAGGAACUGCCUGCCAGACUGGAUGGCUUGAGACCGGGAGAGGUGAGUGGAAUUCCCAGUGUAGCGGUGAAAUGCGUAGAUAUUGGGAGGAACACCAGUGGCGAAGGCGGCUCACUGGACCGGUACUGACGCUGAGGCGCGAAAGCGUGGGGAGCAAACAGG
rnacentral:rRNA from 1 species